UACGAAGGGGGCUAGCGUUGUUCGGAAUUACUGGGCGUAAAGCGCACGCAGGCGGAUUUAUAAGUCAGGGGUGAAAUCCCGGGGCUCAACCUCGGAAUUGCCUUUGAUACUGUAAGUCUCGAGACCGGAAGAGGUGAGUGGAAUUCCUAGUGUAGAGGUGAAAUUCGUAGAUAUUAGGAAGAACACCAGUGGCGAAGGCGGCUCACUGGUCCGGUACUGACGCUGAGGUGAGAAAGCGUGGGGAGCAAACAGG
rnacentral:rRNA from 1 species